rnacentral:rRNA from 1 species
GGCGUAGCCGGCUCCCGCAAGGGCGUCUGUAUAGGUGCUGCAUGGCUGUCGUCAGCUCGUGUCGUGAGAUGUUGGGUUAAGUCCCGCAACGAGCGCAACCCUCGUCCUCUGUUGCCAUCAGGUCAAGCUGGGCACUCUGAGGAGACUGCCGGUGAUAAACCGGAGGAAGGUGGGGAUGACGUCAAGUCAGCAUGGCCUUUAUGUCCAGGGCCACACACGUGCUACAAUGGCGGAUACAAAGCGCUGCAAACCCGCGAGGGUGAGCCAAUCGCAUAAAGUCCGUCUCAGUUCGGAUUGUAGGCUGCAACUCGCCUGCAUGAAGUUGGAAUCGCUAGUAAUCGCGGAUA